GUGGUAAUUCUAGAGCUAAUACAUGCUGAAAACCUCGACUCCGGAAGGGGUGUAUUUAUUAGAUAAAAAGCCAAUGCCCUUCGGGGCUUUCUGGUGAUUCAUAAUAACUUAACGAAUCGCAUGGCCUUGCGCCGGCGAUGGUUCAUUCAAAUUUCUGCCCUAUCAACUUUCGAUUGUUGGGUAGUGGCCAACAAUGGUGUUUACGGGUAACGGGGAAUUAGGGUUCUAUUCCGGAGAGGGAGCCUGAGAAACGGCUACCACAUCCAAGGAAGGCAGCAGGCGCGCAAAUUAUCCAAUUCCGACACGGAGAGAUAGUGACAAUAAAUAUUAAUCCAGGGAUCUUUAGGUUCUUGGAAUUGAAAUGAGUACAAUUUAAAUCCCUUAACGAGGAACAAUUGGAGGGCAAGUCUGGUGCCAGCAGCCGCGGUAAUUCCAGCUCCAAUAGCGUAUAUUAAAUUUGUUGCAGUUAAAAAGCUCGUCGUUGAAACUUGGAUCUGGUCGGUCGGUCCGCCUCACCGCGUGCACUGAUUCGACCGGAUCUUUCCUUCUGGGGAAGCGCAUGCCCUUUAUUGGGCGUGUCGGGGAACCAGGACUUUUACUUUGAAAAAAUUAGAGUGUUCAAAGCAGGCCUAUGCUCGAAUACAUUAGCAUGGAAUAAUAGAAUAGGACGUGUGGUUCUAUUUUGUUGGUUUCUAGGACCGCCGUAAUGAUUAAUAGGGAUAGUCGGGGGCAUCAGUAUUCCGUUGUCAGAGGUGAAAUUCUUGGAUUUACGGAAGACUAACUACUGCGAAAGCAUUUGCCAAGGAUGUUUUCAUUAAUCAGUGAACGAAAGUUAGGGGAUCGAAGACGAUCAGAUACCGUCGUAGUCUUAACCAUAAACUAUGCCGACUAGGGAUCGGGCGGUGUUAUUAUUUUGACCCGCUCGGCACCUUACGAGAAAUCAAAGUUUUUGGGUUCUGGGGGGAGUAUGGUCGCAAGGCUGAAACUUAAAGAAAUUGACGGAAAGGCACCACCAGGCGUGGAGCCUGCGGCUUAAUUUGACUCAACACGGGGAAACUCACCAGGUCCAGACACAAUGAGGAUUGACAGAUUGAGAGCUCUUUCUUGAUUUUGUGGGUGGU
rnacentral:rRNA from 1 species